CAUGUACUUAGCACUGGAAGUUUCUUGCCAGUGUAAUUCUACUGUCUGGUUAUAAAUUGUCUUGUGCUUUAAUGCAUUGCAUACUUCCACAUUUCUUCUCUGAGACUGAUGAGUGGAACAAUCUGGAAAAGACUUGUUAUUAUCAGGUGACUACAAACAAAACAAGACGCCAAAAAACAUAAGCAGAAGAGGAAGAUGAUGUUGGUGUCUUCUGGAACAUCCAAAAUGAAACCCAUGCUUAUUUCAAGAAAAUGAAAUGAGAACUUGAAUAUGUAAGUAUGUGUACAUCUGCUCCUUUAGGUGAGGGUAGCUUCUAUUCCUUUGAAGAACUGACAUUC
rnacentral:lncRNA from 1 species